rnacentral:rRNA from 1 species
GACGAACGCUGGCGGCGUGCUUAACACAUGCCAGUCGAACGGAAAGGCCCUGCUUUUGUGGGGUGCUCGAGUGGCGAACGGGUGAGUAACACGUGAGUAACCUGCCCUUGACUGUGGGAUAACUUCAGGCAACUGGGGCUAAUACCGGAUAGGAGCUCCUGCUGCAGGGUGGGGGUUGGAAAGUUUCGGCGGUUGGGGCUGGACUGGCGGCUUAUCAGCUGGUUGGUGGGGUAGUGGCUUACCAAGGCUUUGACGGGUAGCCGGCCUGGGAGGGUGAACGGCGACAUUGGGACUGAGAUACGGACCAGACUGCUACGGGAGGCAGCAGUGGGGAAUAUUGCACAAUGGGCGGAAGCCUGAUGCAGAAACGCCGCGUGCGGGAUGACGGCCUUCGGGUUGUAAACCGCUUUCGCCUGUGACGAAGCGUGAGUGACGGUAAUGGGUAAAGAAGCACCGGCUAACUACGUG